rnacentral:rRNA from 1 species
UACGGAGGGUGCAAGCGUUAUCCGGAUUUACUGGGUUUAAAGGGUGCGUAGGUGGAUAAUUAAGUCAGUGGUGAAAUCUUCAGGCUUAACCUGGAAACUGCCAUUGAUACUAUUCAUCUUGAAUACUUUGGAGGUAAGCGGAAUAUGUCAUGUAGCGGUGAAAUGCUUAGAUAUGACAUAGAACACCAAUUGCGAAGGCAGCUUACUACACAGUAAUUGACACUGAGGCACGAAAGCGUGGGGAUCAAACAGG